UGUACCUACGGGACGCAGCAGUCGAGAAUCAUUCACAAUGGGGGAAACCCUGAUGGUGCGACGCCGCGUGGGGGAAUGAAGGUCUUCGGAUUGUAAACCCCCGUCAUGUGGGAGCAAAUUAAAAAGAUAGUACCACAAGAGGAAGCGACGGCUAACUCUUUGCCAGCCGCCGCGGUAAUACAGAGGUCUCAAGCGUUGUUCGGAAUCACUGGGCGUAAAGCGUGCGUAGUCUGUUUCGUAAGUCGUGUGUGAAAGGCGCGGGCUCAACCCUCGGACGUCACCUGAUACUGCGCGACU
rnacentral:rRNA from 1 species